GACUUCCUUCUCAGGAUGGAACCAGCUUGGUGGCUUGAGGCUUAGCUAAGGGAGCAGAAGACUAACCGUGGUCACUACACAGGCUCUCAAAAUCCUUGCAGCAGUUCCCAAACUCUUGGCAGCGGGCAUUGCAGUGACAUUGGUGGUGCUUGUCAAAGGCUUCGUAGCAGCGGCCCUGGCAGGAGGAAAGGGGUUCUGAGUUGCAAAUCAGAAACUUGAAGAUGAAAUGGCUACUACGCUGGGUAUUGCCUUUAUCUUGAAUGCCAGCCUGAUGGUCCAAGGUGAACAAGCCUUCCUGUGUUUUCUGAAUGUUCCCCCGCACUUUGCCUGCCACCAUGUAAGAUGUGUCUUUGCGCCUCCUUUGCCUUCCACCAUGAUUGUGCGGCCUCCCCAGCCAUGUGGAACGGUGAGUCUAUUAAACCUCUUUUUCUUUACAAAUUA
rnacentral:lncRNA from 1 species